rnacentral:rRNA from 1 species
CACGCUGUAAACGAUGAUAACUCGUUGUCGGCGAUACACAGUCGGUGACUAAGCGAAAGCGAUAAGUUAUCCACCUGGGGAGUACGAUCGCAAGGUUGAAACUCAAAGGAAUUGACGGGG